rnacentral:rRNA from 1 species
UACGGGGGGGGGCAAGCGUUGUUCGGAAUUACUGGGCGUAAAGGGCGCGUAGGCGGCCUUCUAAGUCGGACGUGAAAUCCCUCGGCUUAACCGAGGAACUGCGUCCGAGACUGAAAGGCUUGAAUCCGGGAGAGGGAUGUGGAAUUCCAGGUGUAGCGGUGAAAUGCGUAGAUAUCUGGAGGAACACCGGUGGCGAAGGCGGCAUCCUGGACCGGCAUUGACGCUGAGGCGCGAAAGCGUGGGGAGCGAACAGG